CUGAGGUGUCGAGAGGAGCUGGGAAUGUGACACGUCAUCCAGAUUUUACGCGGGAGUCAGUGCUAAUCUCACCGGCCGUGCUGAAAGUACCUCAGGGUGGGCCCAAGGUGACGUUCAACGAGAACGAGCCGUUACGGGAGCGGAUUUUCAGUUUCAGCAGGGAGCAGAUUCUCGAGCUGAAAGCUAUGGUGAACAAGAGGAGAACCUGGACGGUGGAUAACGGCGUUGAGGUGUUGGGGAAGCAGAGCAACGACAAAAUUAACGGAAAAGAGAACGGUAAACUAACGGAAAUGUUGGAGAGUUUGUUACUGCGAAACGACGCCGUUUCGAAGACAGGGAACAAGCUGGAGAUCUCGUCGUUUCAGUCUCUAUCCGCUUUGCUCUGGCGAGCGAUCACUCGAGCGAGGAAGCUUCCGAGCACCAAAACGACGACGUUUCGCAUGGCUGUCAACGUUCGCCACCGUCUGAGCCCGAAACUGGAUCCGGAGUACUUCGGAAACGCGAUCCAGAGCGUUCCGACGUUCGCGACGGCGGGAGAGGUUCUCUCUCGGGAUAUACGGUGGUCCGCGUUCUGUAUUAUGUAUUUUUACAUGUUAUAAAAUAAUAAAUAUAUAUUGAAUAAUUAAAAGUUAGUAACUAUUACAUAUACAACUAAAUUAGUGUGAACAUAUAAAUCAAUUUUAUUAAUCCAAACAAUAAUUUUUUCUACCUGAUAGGCUAUUAAAAAUAAAUUUAAAUGAUAUUAACAUAUAUAGUAUAUUUUUAAUAUAAAUGUCUAUUAAAUGAUGAUUUCUACUCAUAUGUUUUUUUUUAUCAUUUGAUCUUUUACAGCAAAAACUUUAAAUUACUAACAAAUUUUUUUAUUGUCGGAUUAAUAGUUUUAGUAAUUUAUAAUUUUUAUAAAAUUAAGUUGUCAAUUUUUGUUCAAAGCUUUUAUCAAAAAUAAUUGUUCAAAGUAAAGUUGAAUGUGAGACUUUUAAUAAUUUUAGUAAUUUAUAGUCAUUUUAAAAAAUUCAAAAUAUAACAUAUAUAAAAAAAUUUAAAUUUUUAUUAUAUGGUUAAUGUGAUUGUUUAAUUUAUUUUAAUAGUUUAAAAUUAAACAAAUAUGAUAGAAUAUACACUAAUUUUUAUCAAAUCUUUAUUAUUCAAAAUCAUUAAUUGACAUAUAUACUUUAGCCACAUUAGGCAAUUCUGUCACUUUUAUUUAAGGAAAUAAUUAAGAACAUUAAUAUUAAAUUUAUGGUUAGUUUAAUAAAAAUCUUAUUAUAUAAUUAGAUGGACUAACCCAUUUCUCUAUUGAUUCUAAGAAUCAUCCUAUUGAUGACACGUGGCUACAAAAAGAAGUUGUAAUGUUUCUCAAUUAAUAUAUAUAUAGGAGAUUGUAUUCAAAAAAUCUAGACUGAAUCGGUAAUAUAGUUAGUUUUUGUACAAAUAUCUGAAUUCGUUUCAGAUACAUUUGUUAUUUAGAUUUUUAGGUUCAUACACAUCAAAACAGAACUCAUCCAUACCUUGAAAAACCUAACUCAAGAUCCACAUGAAUUUUAUAAUAUUCAAACAAAGCUAAAUUUAAAAAAAAAAAACGAUACCCAAAUUUUUUUUUCAUGUUUAACUGAUUUUAUAAACUAAUAAAAAAGUUUUUUUCUAUGUAUUUGGUAAAAUUAAGUGAAAUAUAAAUUAUUUAGUAUAAUAAUUAUAUAUGUUUUUAAAUAAUUUUCAUUUAUACUGCUAUUAAUAUUUUCAAACAAUACCAAAAAAUAUUUCAAUUGUUAUUAUAUAGAUAUCAUCUCGUGAUGAUUAAUUGACUAUACUCUUUACACUAAUAUCUCUAAAAUACGUCUCGUUACUUGUUUCUACGUACGUUGGAUUAUUGAGAUUUAUGGAGAGAUAUCUUUUGAACUAGUGUUUAAAAACCUGAUUAAAAUCAGUACUGGGAUGUAAUAUAUGUUAACCGCAAUUCUCAAGCCUGUCUCACAGUUGUCAGUUGAAUGAAAAUGGCUUUCAGUAAUAUCCAUAUACAAAUUGCUAAUUAACACAAUUCACUUUACAUAAAAUCAUUGCAAGUGUUUUUAAUCACUAUAUUUUCACGAAAUAUAGAAAUUUGAUUCAAAAAGAGUUAAUGUCUUGUUUUAAAACAACUGAAGUUAUUUAAAACCAACUAUAUAAUUUAUAAGAAAUAUCAAUUUACAACAAAUAAUUUAAACUGACAUCAGUAUCACUAAAACUAGACUCAUUUUUUUAAACAUAUGAUAUACUCAAAAGUUAUAUACUCUCUCUGUUUCAUUUUUUUUUAACGCAAUACUCAUUCCGUUUCAUAAAGUUACGUAUUCUAAAAAAAAUUAUUUAAAAAAUAUAGCUUUUGCAUUAAUGCAUGUUUUAUUAACUAAAUGCAAAUUUCAAAAAACUUAAUUGCACUUAUUGAAUUUUUAUUGGCUUAAAAUUAUAGAAAAAAUAAACACAUAAAAUUAUGCAAAUUUAAUGUGUUCUAUUAAAAUGUGUGAAAAAUCUAAAAUAUGUAACAUUUUGAAACAAAUGGAGUAUAUAAAUAUCAAAAUUAUAUAUUCAAAGAUAAUAUCAACAAAUUUGAACUUUCCAAGUUAUCCUUUAAAUGUGGUUUAAAACCACUGCUUAAAACCAGUGGUGAUCAUUACAAACUGAAGAGUAACGAGUGAAACAUAUAAGCCAAAAAUUGAAUAGUGGUCCAUCAUCUUAUCUUAGCUAAUAAACUCUUAUCUUAGAAUGUAUAUUAACCAAUAAUUUCUUACAAUUUAUCUGUUCAUAUUCACUCUAAAUUCACCUAACACACACUCAUCCGUUAUGUGUCUCCACACCCUUUUAUACAAACAAAACAAAAAGAUCAAAUUAUCAAACACAUUCAGAAAUAAGGAAACAGUUUCCUAAAGCACAGGGGCUCCAUUUCAAUAAUAACUAUUAAAAAAAAAAUGAAAUAAAGACACAUCAUCAUCUGAUUCAUGAACCUCUUCUCUCCAUCCUCCAACUAUAAAUACAUCGUCUCUACACAUUCUCUUCUCUCAUCGCUCUCAUUAGCAAUCACACACGAUCAACACACUCAGAGCUUAAAAACAGAGUAAGCAAAAAUGCCUUCUCUUGAGAACUCUGUAACUGUAAUCUCAAGGAGCAGAGUCUUCCCUGACCAAAAGUCAACCCUCGUUGACCUCAAACUCUCCGUCUCCGACCUCCCCAUGCUCUCUUGCCACUACAUCCAGAAAGGCUGCCUCUUCACGCGCCCUCACCUUCCUCCGCACGCGCUUCUCUCUCACCUUAAACACUCCCUCUCUCUAACCCUCUCCCACUUCCCUCCACUCGCCGGCCGCCUCUCCACCUCCGAAGACGGCCACGUCUUCCUCUCCUGCAACGACGCCGGAGCAGAUUUCGUCUCCGCCGCCGCGAAAUCCGUCCGCGUCAGCGACGUGAUCGAGGGAAUCGACGUUCCGGACGUCGUCAAGGAGUUUUUCACUUACGACAGGACGGUGAGCUACGAGGGGCAUAACAGACCGAUCCUAGCCGUUCAAGUGACUGAACUAAACGACGGUGUUUUCAUCGGCUGCUCCGUUAACCACUCCGUCACUGACGGAACGUCGCUGUGGAAUUUCAUUAACACGUUCGCUGAGGUGUCGAGAGGAGCUGGGAAUGUGACACGUCAUCCAGAUUUUACGCGGGAGUCAGUGCUAAUCUCACCGGCCGUGCUGAAAGUACCUCAGGGUGGGCCCAAGGUGACGUUCAACGAGAACGAGCCGUUACGGGAGCGGAUUUUCAGUUUCAGCAGGGAGCAGAUUCUCGAGCUGAAAGCUAUGGUGAACAAGAGGAGAACCUGGACGGUGGAUAACGGCGUUGAGGUGUUGGGGAAGCAGAGCAACGACAAAAUUAACGGAAAAGAGAACGGUAAACUAACGGAAAUGUUGGAGAGUUUGUUACUGCGAAACGACGCCGUUUCGAAGACAGGGAACAAGCUGGAGAUCUC
rnacentral:lncRNA from 1 species